rnacentral:rRNA from 1 species
AUUAGACGAAUCAUCUGGAAAGAUGAAUCAAAGAAGGUAAUAAUCCUGUAGUCGAAAAUGUUGUCUCUCUUGAGUGGAUCCUGAGUACGACGGAGCACGUGAAAUUCCGUCGGAAUCUGGGAGGACCAUCUCCUAAGGCUAAAUACUCUCUAGUGACCGAUAGUGAACCAGUACCGUGAGGGAAAGGUGAAAAGCACCCCGGAAGGGGAGUGAAAUAGAACCUGAAACCGUGUGCUUACAAGUAGUCAGAGCCCGUUAAUGGGUGAUGGCGUGCCUUUUGUAGAAUGAACCGGCGAGUUACGAUUUGAUGCAAGGUUAAGCAGUAAAUGUGGAGCCGUAGCGAAAGCGAGUCUGAAUAGGGCGUUUAGUAUUUGGUCGUAGACCCGAAACCAGGUGAUCUACCCUUGGUCAGGUUGAAGUUCAGGUAACACUGAAUGGAGGACCGAACCGACUUACGUUGAAAAGUGAGCGGAUGAACUGAGGGUAGCGGAGAAAUUCCAAUCGAACCUGGAGAUAGCUGGUUCUCUCCGAAAUAGCUUUAGGGCUAGCCUCAAGUGAUGAUUAUUGGAGGUAGAGCACUGUUUGGACGAGGGGCCCCUCUCGGGUUACCGAAUUCAGACAAACUCCGAAUGCCAAUUAAUUUAACUUGGGAGUCAGAACAUGGGUGAUAAGGUCCGUGUUCGAAAGGGAAACAGCCCAGACCACCAGCUAAGGUCCCAAAAUAUAUGUUAAGUGGAAAAGGAUGUGGCGUUGCCCAGACAACUAGGAUGUUGGCUUAGAAGCAGCCAUCAUUUAAAGAGUGCGUAAUAGCUCACUAGUCGAGUGACACUGCGCCGAAAAUGUACCGGGGCUAAACAUAUUACCGAAGCUGUGGAUUGUCCUUUGGACAAUGGUAGGAGAGCGUUCUAAGGGCGUUGAAGCAUGAUCGUAAGGACAUGUGGAGCGCUUAGAAGUGAGAAUGCCGGUGUGAGUAGCGAAAGACGGGUGAGAAUCCCGUCCACCGAUUGACUAAGGUUUCCAGAGGAAGGCUCGUCCGCUCUGGGUUAGUCGGGUCCUAAGCUGAGGCCGACAGGCGUAGGCGAUGGAUAACAGGUUGAUAUUCCUGUACCACCUAUAAUCGUUUUAAUCGAUGGGGGGACGCAGUAGGAUAGGCGAAGCGUGCGAUUGGAUUGCACGUCUAAGCAGUAAGGCUGAGUAUUAGGCAAAUCCGGUACUCGUUAAGGCUGAGCUGUGAUGGGGAGAAGACAUUGUGUCUUCGAGUC